UUCUGUGCGCAGAGGCGGUGUCGUACCCUAUGAAGUUCUGACUGAGGGGCGACUAUUGCUAGUUCAAACU
rnacentral:snRNA from 1 species